AGGGACGCCGGCCUCGCCGCUGACAUAGCACCACGGCCCACGCGGGUCCUCGUCCGGGUUUCGGCAGUAACUGUGAUUGCCGGCGCCUGAGAGGGGAGAGAAGGAAAUGUGUGCCGGGGCUGGGACCUGGACCGCGGCCGCCGCCCGCCAGCCCCGGCGCCGUCCCCCGGAGGACACUUACCCGACACGGGGGCUGAGGCCAGCCCGCUCUGCGCGUCCAGCCAGUUGAGGCAGCGGAGGCCCGGCGCGGGGGAGGUCUGGUCCUCCCGGUACAGGUGGCCGUUGUCCCAGAAACAGCCUGUGAGGAAGAGAAGCCCCCGGACACAGAGUAGCGGGCAGCGAACGGAAGACGCCCAGCGUGGCGGGCAGGGGAGCCGGGACCACCCGUGCCGAGCCUCAGCCUGAUACGGCCACCUUCUGCCCGUUUAACAGGCAAUACUCCCUCCCAGGAGAAUUCUCAAGGAGCCUUGACUCCGUCAGGCAAAAGAUUCAAGACAGCCUCAAACGGAGGAAACCGGCCUCAUCGCUGACUGGAUGAGACCCGAAGCUCCCACUACCCUCUGCAGGAGAACCACAGAAGGAGGCUGGGGAAGGAGGACCACACCAUGCAAAGGGCUUAGAAAGAACAGGACUUGGGGAGUAGGGGAGAUGAACCCCCAAGCUCCAUCCACUCAUGAGCAAGGAAAGGCAAAGAAGGGGGCUUCUUGCCUUUGUUCUUAAUGGCAAAGAUGGAGCUGCAAGCCCCUGACAAGGAAAGGAGGGGUGGAAAAGCUUUCACAGGACAACAGAAACCGGCUAAACGCUUCGUUUCCUGUCAUCCUGGCCCUGUUUGGGAAAUAGAGGCUUUACCCCUUCUGUUUCAUGAAGUUGCUGCGGAAAGGAAAGAUUGUAAUCUCACCUCCAGAUCCAUAGGCUUCUGCUAGGAGCAUGUUGCUGACGAGGAAUGCUUGUACCCAGGCCAACAGCAUCCUUGCCGCCUCCGUCUUGCAGGUGAUUGAACGACCAGUGUUUAACCGAGGCCCUCUUGGCGGCGGCUCUGCCUCCCAGUCCCAGCCUUGCAGUCAGACCUGCCCUUGUUAUGCUGUUCUGGUAAACAGCCUCUCUUUAGAACUGGGAGCUUCCCAGCUAGCUUGCUGCAGCGCGAGCUGUUUUUCAGCUGAAAGGCGCCCCCUGGGUCCUAAGCCUCCUAGGUCAUGCAAAAUCUAACUCUGAGCCAAGAAAGGAACUCAGCCAAGAGAUAUGCAGAUACAAGAUUGUGCUUAGCAGCAGAUCAGUUUGAGACCUGCGAGGCCGCAUCCCCAGGGUUUUUCAUCUCUUCUGUUUCCAUCUGUAGACGGUCUUGCUGUGUUGUCCAAGCUGACUUGAACUCCUGUGCUCAAGCAGUCUUCCCACCUCAGCCUCCUGAAUAGCUGGGACUAUAGUUUUAGAAAGCCUUGUUUGCACUAUUUCUUCUGGACCCAGACUCAUUCACUACUGAGGCCCACUCCCUUGAUGUCAAAGAAUACUGGCUGCUGUUUUUAGUUCAUCCUCACAGAAACUCGGGCUACACCCAUCUGCUUCAGCUCAUUGCUGAUACUUCCUGCCAGUUGUGGACUGAAAUUCUGAUGCAGAAAGCCUGCUAAGAAAACCUCUUCCUUGAACUGGAGCUUUCCAGAGGUCAAGAGUGGCACUGGCCUUAUGAUCUAUGAUAUGCUUUGUUGUAAAUUACAAUCCCUGAGAUGUCAUACUGAUGAGGAGACACAUGGGAAAGAACCUGUCUUUUAAACCUCUUUCAUGGUGCCAGAACAAGCAUUUAUAAGCACUGUUUCCAUAUGUACCGUACCCUCGUCUUUAUUGUUUUUGUUUUUGUUUUUUGAGACGGAAUCUUUCUCUGUCGCCCAUGCUGGAGUGCAGUGGUGCGAUCUUGGCUCACUGCAAGCUCCGCCUCCCGGGUUCACGCCAUUCUCUUGCCUCAGCCUCCCGAGUAGCUGGGACUACAGGCGCCUGCCAACACGCCCGGCUAAUUUUUUGUAUUUUUAGUAGAGACAGGGUUUCACCGUGUUAGCCAGGAUGGUCUCAAUCUCCUGACCUCGUGAUCCGCCCGCCUCGGCCUCCCAAAGUGCUGGGAUUACAGGCUUGAGCCACCGCGCCCGGCCCCGUACCCUCGUCUUUAGAAAGGAAGAGCCAUCAGAAAUUAUGGGCCUUGUUCAGGGUAUCCAGUGAUGUCAGAGUGCUGCUAGGAACAGAAUUCAUCCCCCACUCCCAUGGAUUCCUUUGUUGUUAUCAUUACCAAACGCUCCUUCCCUAUUGGUCAACAGAAAAUAUAUCUCAGUAUUUUCUCCAAGGGAGGUUUUGAGUUUCUUAUUCCCUUUUGGGGAAACAAGAUGAUUUUCCUCUUCCCCAGUUGGAUUCUAUACCCAUUUCAUUAAAGUCCUUGGUAGAUUUAAUUUUUU